CCCUUAACCUUAGCCUUUUCCAGGUUCUUGCUCACUUCAGGGAACUCAACCCUCCUUCUCCACAUCAUCCUGAUCUAAUUCCUUGACAUGCUUUAUUUCUCAUAUUAUUGGGUAUGGAUAUUAAGGAGGGGAAGAGCCAUUCUUGGGCAGUCUUAUAAACUGAGUGUUCAACUAUCCUUGGGUAAAGUAGUGAAGAGAUUCUAAUGAGGCCAAGUGAAAUCUCUAGCUUUGGAAGGAGGAGGUGUGAAUGACUUCCCCUGUGUCAGAAGAGAGACUCCUUGAAAGGAAACCUCAGCUUCUGGUCAGUUCAUGGAGAACUAAUUAGCAAGGAGGCAAAGACUGUGCCCCAUGACAUCAGCAGACCCUUUGCUGGCCAUUCUAUUGUAUCCCAGACAGCACUUGGAAUCCCCAGUGAUGUCACUACUGUUGUAGCAAUGCCAACAUCCUUUAGGACAUUUGUUCAGUGACCACAAGCUUGGCCUCUAGACAUGUUAUCCAGACUCAGAGGUCUAUUUGGGAGAGGGGAUGGACAUCAUGGGGAGACCAGAGUAGGCAGAAGGAAGCUGGUUCUAGAUCUCCCUGGAAAACAUGAAGAAAUAAGUGGUCAUGGGGAAGACUCAGCUCUGAAAGAACAUGGCUGAAGGCCCUGAAGCCAUUGUGCAUCCUCUGCAACUGGACUACAGAGGAGGCACCAUCCCAACUCUCCACCUUCACUGAGCAGGAACAGGAGAUGAAAAAAUAGAGAAACUCACCCUCUGGCUAAAUAAUAUGACCUGAGAAAGAAAUGAGCUGUGUGAAGUCUUUGCCAAUUACACCAACAAGGAUUUGAAAAACAGGCUGAAUUUUGAGCUUGAAAUGCUUAAAAUGGCGCCUAAGAAGGUGAAUGUCUGACCUGCAGAAAUUGCCCAUAGAGAUCAUUGAUGCCUUGGACAAGUGCACGGGGCUGAUUGAGGAGACUGAAUCCUUCAGUUGUUCAGUUACCUCCACGGCCAGGUCCUCCGAGAAUGGACUCAGCUGAAGGAGAAUGUACAUGUGUUGAGACUGAAGAACGGACUGCUGUGGAAGGAGCAGAUUGAAAUGCAAGAGUCCUGUGAGGAGCUGAAGAGGCUCUUGAAGGAGGCCCAUGAGAUGAUCUGUGACCCCUGUGCUGAGCAGCAUCAGGAGCAAGAGAGUCUGGAUGAAAUACUGAAGGACCUGCUGAGGCAGAAGGAGCUGGUCACCCAGCAAAGGGACUUGGCAGAAAAGCUACAACAUCACUUCAGUGUCACUGAGAUGAGGUAGGAGCCCAGGCUUGGAGGAGAGGUCAGAAAAUCUCCAGUCUGAGUUUAAACAGGUCACAGCUCAGGAUGAGAGCCUCCUGCAGACAGAGCUGCUGCAGCAGGAGCAAUAAGUGUCCCAGAUAACAGAUCUUGACAGAACUGAGGAGGCCAAAGAAGCCAAAGAUGCCUUGAACCCAUGAAGCUCUCCACCUCAGAUCGAGGUCUGCUCAGAAGACAUCCCUUAUAGCUGUGAUCUCACCAGUGAGGCAAACACCAUCUGACCUCCAGGUGAUCCAGCCCCCGUCAAUAGGUCUGUUGACUCAGGAUUCCUGAAGAAAAGAAAACAUCACAAAUGAACUCAAGACAGAAAAACCUGAGACAAGAAUUACUGGGAACCCUGACAUUCAACAGCAAGUGGCCCCUGUGAGGGCUACAACAACAUGGAGGGUAGAGAUGUUGGUGAGCAAGACAUUUUCUGACAGUUUAAUGUCGAUGGCUUUGGCAAGCUGACUGAGUCCUUAGCCCUCCCCAGAUGGAGGGAAAUCUGUCAUGGAAGACUGUUGAUGUCAAGCUGUUCCUGACAGACUACACCAAAAAAACCAUCAUUUUUUCAUGCUCCAGGCCAGUGCUGAAGCUGACUCCAUGUCCUGCACAAGUGUUGCUGAGGAUAAUGCACCACAGAGAUCUCCACAGUCCAUCAUUCCCCGGGUUAGACAUUUUUUCCUACAUAUUUAAAAUCAGUGGGUAUUUCUCUAUUUCUCAGCUUGAACUGAAGUGACUGGUCCUGAGAAAGGAUUUAUAGAAGACAUCUGAGUCAUCUUUGAUGUUUUUUGGUACUCAGAUGCUACCCACAUAUUUGUGGAGUCUCUAGUAAGCACACAAGGGUCUGUAUGCUGAAAGAAUCAAAUAGUGACCAAGACAUUACAGGAUCAGCAGUGUGUGAUAAUUUAUCAAAAGCUUCCCAGAGGGGCACAAAGAAUGCUCUAGAAAUGUCUCAUCCUUAGUCUCGGUGAAGGCUUGGCCUACAAAGCCUGAAGGAGGCAUGACUAUACUAGUUUUGAAAAGGCUUUUUACAAUCGCUGACUGCCUUCCUACCAUGUUUCCAAGGCCAGCCACAGGCUGUAGGUCUGUGCUGCUAACUGUGCAGCAGAGAAUGCUGCUGGCCUUAAUUGUUUUUUGUUUGGUUUUUGGUUGCUUUGGGUUUUUGUUUUGUUUUCUUUGUUAUAGAUUGAGAUUUUGCUAUUUAUUUGUUCUUCCUUUUGUUCUAGUUGUUAUUUGGAUAUUUUGCUAAGGCUGUUCACUGUUUAUAUUGACUGCUCCCUUUAACCCCCUAUUGAGUAAUAUUACUGUAUUUUAUUAAUAAUAAAGUGAUUUUGAACUUUUC